GACACAAAAAUCUACUUUUUCUAGCUCUAACAGUUCUGGUGAAUAUUAAAAGGAGGAAGUCUUUUGUUAAAAAAAAAAAAUAGCCUGCAAUUCAGUAGCAUCAUCUUUAUAAGCAGAGGAUGCACAAUCACCCACUUGCUGGCCACAGCUCUGCUUUAGGUCAUCUGAAGUCGAUUACUGCAUCCUUGGAGGAUGGUGUGAAACGCCAGUGAAAUCGUGAGCUAAUUCAAUGACAUGCCCAUUGUUCCACUCAUUUAGGCAUACGCUUUUUCUGAACAGGGAAGAUUCUCGCAUAUUCCUAACGUACUAAAUUAACUCAAAAAACUUAAGAAUGUUACCCCACUGCUGCUUGUCUCUAGUUUUCAGCUUUCAUCCUGGCGGGCAAGACCCCCAGCAUCUUCUCAGUCAUAAAGUACUUGUGAGCAUUCAGAAAGGCCUAAGUUAACUAUCGUCGGGUUACACAGGUUUGGAAGCUUGAGCACAUUCUACGGCAUUUGUGGUAUGGCCUCUGUAGAUUUGAUAUCCUUAAUCAUAGAUAGCAGAUGGAGCUGUGAGACAAUGACCUUCCAGGGUCCCUUCCCCAAGUAGACUUAAUGCUACUACACUUCAAAAGCAAUCACUGUCCAUCCGCUCCAGGUCAGCGUGCAGUACUGGCCAGGGGCCCGGGCUACCAGAAAGACACUAGCUAGAGUUGAAUGCUUAAUCUCCCUGCUCCCAAGUACAGACAAGAGGAGAGAGAGAGGCUCAUGGCUUUCUAGAGUUUUAUGUGCUUAAGCGCUGAUAGGAGCUAGCUUUUGCUGCAUGUUGGUCACUCUGGAAUAUAAGACACCUGGGACAGCAGCUAAUGUGGCUAAGGAACAGUCAGGCCAGAUUUGCUGUUAUUUAUUUAGCAGAACACAGAAUCCAAGAAUCCUCAUGAAUGCCACUCAAAAGCAUGACUCAGGCAAAGGGAACAGACAAUAAAAGGAACGACUUCAUAUUUCACAGCAAGAAUUCUCUGGCCUCGGAGAACACUAGAUACCUCUGGACCACACAUCCCUUUGGCAAAAUACUUUUCUCAUCUACAGAUCACUGGAUGGCUUGGUUUACCUGAAGCCUCUUAUGGUUUCUCCACCUAAUAACCCUCAUGAUAUUUUUCUAGAAAAGCAGCAUAGAUGGAGAUGGAAUGUAACACCUGAAAUAAUAGGAUUUUGCAGGAAAUAAUGUAAAUCAAGCCUUUUGCCCUUAAUGACCCACAAUAAAAUGCUCUUGUUACCCAGAUCUGCAGGCAACCCAGUGCAGGUUGCCAUGGAAAUGCCCAGCUGCUCCUCUGUGCAGUUGCUUAAUGAUCAGUGUGAUGUCAGGCUCUUGAGAGAAGCACAGGCUCAGACAACUCUUUACAGCCACAGGGACAGUCCACUCGGGACUGCAGUUACGUCUGAGUGGGAGCCCCUGUGUCCAGUCAGAAGCAAGACAGAAACAGGGCGGCCAUGGCACGUUGCUGCAGAUGCCGCUUCACCAACCUGUGACCUGGCUCCCGCUCUACACAGUGCCUGCUGGAAUCAUGUACAGCGCUAGGAGGAAAGUCACAAUAUGUUUUCGCAGCCUGAGUUCUCCUGAGGUUCACAGUCUAGCUGGGGAGACAGACAUGACACCUCCAUAGGCUGAGUGAGAAGAGCUACUAGUGGCACCUACAAAGUACUGAAGGCACACAGAGGUUGAACCUUCCAGCUGUGGACCUACAACUCCUGAUCAAAAAGGUUGUGCAGUUUCUGGUUUGGUGCUCCUCACACAGAAUCUCCAGGAAGCAGAGAUGGAUGCGUAGAUUCUACAAUGGAGAGAGGACCGGUCCAUUCCCAAAGUUCCAUCCUGGACAUUGAAUAGCAUCUUGGGAGGAACCAAAAUGGGAUCCCACUCUGGGUAAGACAUGAUAACACCAGCAGUGAGAUUCCUGUGGAUAGGGGAGUUUUCUUGGGCAGGGGUGAAGAGACACAGAAGAAAAGCAGGGAAGUGUGAAUGCUAGGGAUACAAAGAGAAGCCCCGGCAGGGAGCCUCACACAGAUGCUUAAUAAAUGCUUUUUGAUUUGA